rnacentral:rRNA from 1 species
GACGAACGCUGGCGGCGUGCUUAACACAUGCAAGUCGAACGGUGACCCAGGGCUUGCCCUGGUGAUCAGUGGCGAACGGUGAGUAACACGUGGGCAACCUGCCCCUGACUUCGGGAUAACUCCUCGAAAGAGGAGCUAAUACCGGAUACGACCACUUCGGACAUCCGAUGGUGGUGGAAAGUUCUUCGGUCAGGGAUGGGCCCGCGGCCUAUCAGCUAGUUGGUGGGGUAAUGGCCUACCAAGGCGACGACGGGUAGCCGGCCUGAGAGGGCGACCGGCCACACUGGGACUGAGACACGGCCCAGACUCCUACGGGAGGCAGCAGU